rnacentral:rRNA from 1 species
GUUGAUCAUGGCUCAGGAUGAACGCUAGCUACAGGCUUAACACAUGCAAGUCGAGGGGCAUCAUGGAGUUGCUUGCAAACUCUGAUGGCGACCGGCGCACGGGUGAGUAACGCGUAUCCAACCUUCCCUAUAGUAGAGGAUAGCCCGGCGAAAGUCGGAUUAAUACUCUAUGUUUUCCGUUGCAGACAUCUAAGAUGGAACAAAGGCUUGCCGCUAUAGGAUGGGGAUGCGUCUGAUUAGGUAGUCGGCGGGGUAACGGCCCACCGAGCCAUCGAUCAGUAGGGGUUCUGAGAGGAAGGUCCCCCACAUUGGAACUGAGACACGGUCCAAACUCCUACGGGAGGCAGCAGUGAGGAAUAUUGGUCAAUGGGCGAGAGCCUGAACCAGCCAAGUAGCGUGCAGGACGACGGCCCUAUGGGUUGUAAACUGCUUUUAUGCGGGGAUAAAGUUCACUACGUGUAGUGUUUUGUAGGUACCGCAUGAAUAAGGACCGGCUAAUUCCGUGCCAGCAGCCGC